GAGUUUGAUCCUGGCUCAGAGCGAACGCUGGCGGCAGGCUUAACACAUGCAAGUCGAACGGGCACUUCGGUGUCAGUGGCAGACGGGUGAGUAACACGUGGGAACGUACCUUUUGGUUCGGAACAACUGAGGGAAACUUCAGCUAAUACCGGAUAAGCCCUUACGGGGAAAGAUUUAUCGCCGAAAGAUCGGCCCGCGUCUGAUUAGCUAGUUGGUAGGGUAAUGGCCUACCAAGGCGACGAUCAGUAGCUGGUCUGAGAGGAUGAUCAGCCACAUUGGGACUGAGACACGGCCCAAACUCCUACGGGAGGCAGCAGUGGGGAAUAUUGGACAAUGGGGCAACCCUGAUCCAGCCAUGCCGCGUGAGUGAUGAAGGCCCUAGGGUUGUAAAGCUCUUUUGUGCGGGAAGAUAAUGACGGUACCGCAAGAAUAAGCCCCGGCUAACUUCGUGCCAGCCGCCGCGGUAA
rnacentral:rRNA from 1 species